AAUGUUUGACAUCGUUGACUUUUUGUCCAACGUUUGACCAUUCGUCUUAUUCAAAAAAUUUAUGUAAUUAUUAUUUAUUUUAUUGUGAUUUGAUUCUUCAUCAAAUGUUCUUUAAGUAUGACAUAAAUAUUUUUAUAUUUGCACAAAAUUUUUAAAUAAAAUGAAUGGUCAAACGUUGGUCGAAAAAUCAACAGCGCCAUACAUU
rfam:Oryza glaberrima chromosome 5 Oglab05_0008_37, whole genome shotgun sequence.